GCCGAUUUAGUUUGGUGGCAGAGCGUCAGCCUUGUAAGCUGAAGAUCGGCGGUUCGAUCUCACCGACCGGCU
rnacentral:tRNA from 1 species